UACGUAGGCAGCAAGCGUUGUUCGAAAUUACUGGGCGUAAAGAGUGUGUAGGCGGUGUUGCGAGUCUGGUGUGAAAUCUCCCGGCUUAACUGGGAGGGUGCAUUAGAAACUGGAAGGCUAGGGGAUGGGAGAGGUAAGCGGAAUUCCUGGUGUAGCGGUGAAAUGCGUAGAUAUCAGGAGGAACACCUGUGGUGUAGACAGCUUACUGGACCAUUUCUGACGCUGAGACACGAAAGCGUGGGUAGCAAACAGG
rnacentral:rRNA from 1 species